ACAAAAGCUGCGAUGAGAAAGAGUACCAAGGCGAUGUCUUUUUACAGAGAGCCCCGGUUGCUGAAAAGGGGUAAAGAAUAACUUUGGGAAUAUGGUCUCUGAGCUGCGCAUCGAAACCUCAUAUGGUUGUAGGCUGCGCCGGAACCCGCACCCGUUACUGUGCUAGGGUAUACAUGCAUAAGCAUCGUACCUGAAGAGGUUAAUGUCGCAAGGCAUUAAUAAAAUUGGGUGGUACCGCGUGAGCACAGCUCUCGUCCCUUUG
rnacentral:ncRNA from 1 species